CGGUAAUACGUAGGGGGCGAGCGUUAUCCGGGAAUUAUUGGGCGUAAAGAGUACGUAGGCGGGAGAUUAAGCGCAGGGUUUAAGGCAAUGGCUUAACCACUGUAUGCCCUGUGAACUGAUCUUCUUGAGUGCAGGAGGGGAAAGCGGAAUUCCUAGUGUAGCGGUGAAAUGCGUAGAUAUUAGGAGGAACACCAGUGGCGAAGGCGGCUUUCUGGACUGUAACUGACGCUGAGGUACGAAAGUGUGGGGAGCGAACAGGAUUAGAUACCCUGGUAGUCCACACCGUAAACGAUGAGCACUAGGUGUCGGGCAUGUAAGUGUUCGGUGCCGCAGUUAACGCAAUAAGUGCUCCGCCUGGGGAGUACGUACGCAAGUAUGAAACUCAAAGGAAUUGACGGGGACCCGCACAAGCAGCGGAGCAUGUGGUUUAAUUCGAAGCAACGCGAAGAACCUUACCAGGGCUUGACAUCCCUCUGACCGGCUGGGUAAAACCGGCCUUUCUUCGGACAGAGGUGACAGGUGGUGCAUGGUUGUCGUCAGUUCGUGUCGUGAGAUGUUGGGUUAAGUCCCGCAACGAGCGCAACCCUUGUCUUUAGUUGCCAGCAUUUAGUUGGGCACUCUAGAGAGACUGCCGGGGACAACUCGGAGGAAGGUGGGGAUGACGUCAAAUCAUCAUGCCCCUUAUGUUCUGGGCUACACACGUGCUACAAUGGUCGGUACAAAGAGCAGCCAGACCGCGAGGUGGAGCAAAUCUCAAAAGCCGAUCCCAGUUCGGAUUGCAGGCUGCAACCCGCCUGCAUGAAGUCGGAGUUGCUAGUAAUCGUGGAUCAGAAUGCCACGGUGAAUGCGUUCCCGGGUCUUGCACUCACCGCCCG
rnacentral:rRNA from 1 species